GACGAACGCUGGCGGCGUGCCUAACACAUGCAAGUUGAGCGACGAACCAGGGCUUGCCCUGGGGCAAAGCAGCGAACGGGUGAGUAACACGUGGGUAACCUACCCCGAUAACCGGGACAACCCGAGGAAACUCGGGCUAAUACCGGAUGUGCUCACUGGACUUCGGUUCAGUGCGUAAAGGAAGCUUCGGCCUCCGUAUCGGGAGGGGCCCGCGGCCCAUUAGUUUGUUGGUGAGGUAACGGCUCACCAAGACCGCGAUGGGUAGCUGGUCUGAGAGGACGAUCAGCCACACUGGGACUGAGACACGGCCCAGACUCCUACGGGAGGCAGCAGUGGGAAUCUUGCGCAAUGCGCGAAAGCGUGACGCAGCAACGCCGCGUGGGGGAAGAAGGCCUUCGGGUUGUAAACCCCUUUCAGGAGGGACGAAGGUUCGGCGGUGAAUAGCCGUCCGGACUGACGGUACCUCCACAAGAAGCCCCGGCUAACUACGUG
rnacentral:rRNA from 1 species